AGAUUGAACGCUGGCGGAAUGCUUUACACAUGCAAGUCGAACGGCAGCACGGGACUCAGGCAACUGAGCCCUGGUGGCGAGUGGCGAACGGGUGAGUAACAUAUCGGAACGUGCCCAGUCGUGGGGGAUAACGCAGUGAAAGCUGUGCUAAUACCGCAUACGAUCUAU
rnacentral:rRNA from 1 species